GUUUCGCCUAUGUAAUUUGUUUGCUUUAUUAAAUGCGAUUUUGUUUUUCUUGGAAAAAAUGCAUUGGCUGCUCAAGAAAAGGAUUUGGAAAUUGCAAGCGGAUUGGGUAUUAAGAUUACUGUAGGUGUAGCGCACCAGUUUGAUAGUGCCAAAGCAGGUCUUUGUUCUAAUUUGAGAAAUCUAAACGAUGUAAGAAUUCAGUUUACUUGACUCUUAUUGUUGCCACAUUGAUAAUUAGAACGAUUUCCCUCUUUCACAUUGGAUGAUGCAUACAGGGUAUAAGCAUGUAUCUAGGGGCAGCUCCUAUUGAAGUACAAUCCUGAUGUUGUCACCGCUUCUUGGGUUGCUGAUGCUUCCUUAUUUCUAGCUCCAAUGGUCUAUGAACUCGGGUGGAACUGGGAUGACUUCUCGCUGUUAGCCCAGGGCUCUUUGGCUGGACACCUGCUAGAAUGCGGCUGUCAACUCACUGGAGGAUAUUUUAUGCAUCCAGGUCAAUGUGGAUCACAUGAAGCUCCAAAAAG